GCCGGGUGUGGUGGCGCACACCUGUAAUCCCAGCUACUCGGGAGGCUGAGGCAGGAAAAUUGCUUGAACCUGGGAGGUGGAGGUUGCAGUGAGCCAAGAUUGCACCACUGCACUCCAGCCUGGGUGACAGAGUGAGACUCUGUCUCAA
rnacentral:SRP_RNA from 2 species